rnacentral:lncRNA from 1 species
AUGCGUUUUUCCGUCCAAUUCAAUAACUUAAGGAAAACUUGAAGAUUAAAAAAGUGUUGUUCACGGUUAAUCUGAAGUAUUGAGAUUUACAAUUUAUUGAAAGAACAACUGAAAAUCAAUUUAGGUUGCAUAUGUGUCAUGUGUGGAGAAGAACCCUCUAGCUAGUUCAUCACCUAUCCUUCCACCUUAAUUUCAUGCUUUUGUCAAUUCUGUAAUUUAUUUAAGUUUAAUUUACUUCUCGUCAAAACCAAACCCCCCCCCCCAUUAUUAAAUUAUAUUAUUUAGUUAGUUUUCAUUGUUGUUAGUCUUUUAAUUCAAUUUCCGUCCAUUUCAGUUCCUAGUGUCUAAUUUGAUUGUUUUCAUUAUUUUGAGUCAUUCUAAGUGUGUUUCGAGUUAUUAGAGUUUUUAGCCUAGUUUUGUGUCCUUGAGUCUUGUUUAAUAAUUCUAAAUUAAUUUAGAAUAGAUUAGCAAUCCCUCCUAAUCCCCGGCAACGGCGCCAAAAUUUGAUGCGUAAUAUAUAAGCACACAAAUUAAACCCUCUUUUUAUCAAUUGUAGUAAAGUAUGCAAGUAGGGUACCACAACAUCCCCCACAACAAUUCCAAUCAAAUCAAAGUAUGCCCGUGAAUUAUAAUGAAAUUCUUGAAGGACUAAUUUCUUUGACGCAGGGUUCACAAAAAGAAGAACAAUUGCCACCAUCGGAAGAGUUCUAUCAGUGGCCAUAUGAACUGUCACAGCCACCACAACAAUCAACCCAAUUCAAUUCAGGUACGUCCUUGGAUAAUGAUACACUUAAUAAGUUACUCACCUCUUUGAAUCAGGGAGUAGAAAAUCAAAACCAGGAGAUGCAAGACUGAGUCAAAAGAGUGGACGAAUUGGAUAUGCAAGUUGGGCAGAUUGUGGAAUUCAUGGCACAGAUUCG